GACGACCCAGUGUUAAGUCGUCUCGUGCGGAGGGAUGAGUUUCGCAUGUGACUCCUGUUUUAAAGGUUGUGUGUAAAGGCGAUGUCCAAUGCCGAGCGACGGGUUGGAGCCGAUAUAUGUUGCGCAUGUGGUUAUGGCAGCAAGGAAUGGUGGUUAGGACAGGAAGUCAUUAAGAGAGUCAAGAUGCGUGGGCAUGCUGACAGCUGAUUAAACGCACACGUGUUCCUGGGGGAACCGGUGUGAGUCGAAUUAACACACACCUGCACACGCCGACGACGCCCUUCCCUCCGUUCGCAGGCCGGCGACUCCCGCAGGUCCGACUCUCGCUCCCACGCCGUGUUCUAAGCCCCCGCCACUUGCGAUUGGAAAUAAGCGUGCGCCUAAUCCUUGAAAAUCCCCAGUAAGUUGUUUGAUAAGUGCGCGAGAGGGUGUCCUAUUCGCUGCCGACCCUCCCUAUACCCUUACGACCAGUCAGCUUUGUGUGAACUUUAUUUUAGUUUAGUUUAUUUUCUGAAGUGUUGAUUUAAUAGUGCUAAAAAGAGGAGUAUCUGUAACCGAGUCCGAAGCAUCACAAUCCCGUAUCGUGUGCUUGCGGCGAGAAAUAUGCCAGUGAUAUAUUUUUUUCUCAUAUAAAUUAGAAGUAAAAGUGUCAGUAUUAGUCAUUCUGUGUUUUCGAUGAAUUUAGAUACUAAGAAAAAAAAAGAAUAAGUAUGUUAGUGUAAACGUCUUUGCGUAAGUUGUGAAGUAGAAAAUCGUAUUCGGUGAUAAGUAAUGAUCGUAUAUCCAUAGAAAUAGUGAGUGGUGGUAGUACUAUAGAGCUAAUUGUACAUCUGUAAUUGUUUGUUAUACGGUGAUGGUGUUAUCGUGUAAGAAGUAGAUGUGAUUUUAAGGCAUAAGACCAUAUCCUCAUAAAAAAA